rnacentral:lncRNA from 1 species
GUCGUCGACCUGUUCCGCCUCGGCUACCUCUUCUCCCCGCGCUGGCUCGACAUCUGGCGCGCCGAGCCGCUGUAUCUCCAUGACCGCCAGUUCGCCUCUCCCCGGAUCGCCGCCGCCGACGUCGCCGACGCCAUCGCCAACGUUCUCGAGCUCCACGUAGGCGACGGCGUCCAGUUCGUAGGCGUACAAGGAGAGAACGGGAGCGACGACGACGACGACGGAGAUGGAGGUGGAGGCAACGAGGUAGUUGGCGUGGAUGGCCACGAUUCUGGACCCGGGGUUGCCGUCGAACUCGAACACGAGGCAGCAGAUCAAGGCGGUGGAGUCGUCAACAAUUCUGACGGUGGAGGUGUCGCCGGCCGCCGUCGCCUCCGAUUCCCUGGAGGCGUAGGCGCCGACGACGGCGUCAUCAGCGACGACGACAUCUACGGCCACGACGACAUCCCAGAUGGUGGUUACGAGAUCGGCCGCGUCUACAGCUUCCGAGUGGAGACCACGCGGUGGCGCGCCGACCAACUCCACCGCUGGUGCGCCGCGCUCCAGCGCGGCCGUGUUCGUGAGGUCACCCUCGCCAACCUCACCAUGGAAGGGCACCCCGAGCUCCCCCAGGGCAUCCGCGACUGCGCCACAAGCCUCAAGGGACUCCACGUCUUCUUCUUCACCAUGGAAGCCGACCACAUCGACUCCCUCGUCAACCUCCGCGUCCUCGGGCUGUAUGGCUGCCCUGGCAUGAUCCUGCGAGCACUCCGCCCCGAAUCGGAAAUCCGGGUGCUGACGAUCGACUUCAGCCGUCUGGUAGACGUCCUCGUCCAGACCACGCGCCUCCGCUCUCUGGAGAUGCACAACAACGUGGUGCAGGGCACGGUCGUCGUGCACGACGCCAUCCAACUCCGGAAGCUGCACCUGUUACCACCGACGAGACCAUCCAAGAUCUUCAUCGGUGAAGCGCCCAGCCUGCGAAGCAUCGGCUAUCUCGAUCUCUUCAACACCGUCUUCGUGAUCAAAGGCAUUGUGAUUCAGGUAUGAUCAAAUCAAAUCGAAUCGUGUCCGUGUGCACUGCAAAUCGAUCGAUCAAAUUCAGACCUCUGCAUGCUGCUCAUCCGAUUAACUCAAAUCCAAAUCCAAAUUGGCUAAUUAACAAUACUAUACUCUGAUCAUGCGCAGGCUGGGAUGGUGCUGCAUCCUCCAAAGAUGCGUUCUGUCAGGAUUCUCGGCUUACGGGUGAACUACACAGAGAUGGGUCACAGGGUGCCCCGUGAGAUAGAGCAGAUUCUGAAGUGUUUCCCAUGCUUAGAGAAACUGGAGAUCAUGGUAAUAAACAGCCAAUCCAAUCAAUCAAUCAAUCAUUUUAUUGUCCUGAAAUUUGCUGUUAAUUGCUCUGCAUCAGUAGUAUUAGACUAUGUCUGAAUUCUGAUUUCUGAUUGGGUUGUGCGUGCGUGCCUUUGCUGCAGAAUUACUACCAACUGUCUCUGUAGUUCAAUGGUACUAGUAAUAUAUAAUAUGUCUGAGUUCUGUUUGAAUUGUGCGUGACUUGCAGAAUUAUCAUGUGUGAAUUCUGAUUAAGGUGCGCGUGUGUGCCUUUGCUGCAGAGAUACGAUGAGGUUGCACCAGAAGAAGGGCUCCUCAAAGCGGAUGAUGAACACAUCUAUCAAGGGAACAAUUUCUUCCGUGACCUUGGUUGUUUCAGCCAUCACCUGAGGUGGAUAUAUCUUACAGCUUUCAGAGGGGGCAAGUAUGAACUUGCUCUGGGCAAAGCCAUCCUCGACGAAGCUCGAGCCGGGACAAUGUUCAAAAUGCUACACCCACAAGGCAGCUAUACGGACUACAUCUCUAACCAGCUAUGGCGGGCUCUCGAACAUUUCAGAAUGACCACUCCAAAUCAUGCUGUCAGAGAUCGACAUGUGUCCGUUAUUCUACGUUUGAGAAAGGCCGGGGGUCUUCCUGGAUAGCAACGCAAGCUGCGAGCUAGCCGGUCCGGGUUCGAGCCUCACCCUCUCCUUAAUUCAAAAUUAAUCUAGUCAUUCCUAGAUUGGUCUUAUUUGUUUUGUGUCCAUUAUUCUAAGUUGAGUUACUUGAAGAAGGCUACUCCAGGUUGAAGAAGGCUACUCCAGGUUGUUGUUCUGCGCUGCUGUACUACUGUCAGAGAGGUUAGGCUGCGCUCUUUUCUUCAAUUUGUCUAGCUGGUCAAAUGAUGUAUGCUAAGUGAGCGAAUUGUGAAUGAUGCUCUCUUUGAGUCUGCAUAAUUGAACAAUUACAAAUCUUGAUAGCAGUAAAAGAAGAUACAGUAUCUUGAUGAGAUGAGCAUGUUGUUUGUGCUUUGCUUUUACCGGAAAAUUUGAUCAACAUAAAAGUGAAUUAUUUUUCUUAGAUGCUAAACAACUGUAGUGUACAUGUAUAUUUGUUGAUCAUGAUGCUAGACAAACCGGGAAAUUAUUUGACUGCGGCUAGAUUUUUAUACUACUAAGUGACAUGCAUAUACUCGGGUGCAAUUGUACAUUUGUACCUGGUGCAAAAAGGACGUUCUGGUUCUCCACUGACCUGUCAAGCUUCUACAUGGGUCUAAAGUUAAACUCUAAACUAUACGUGUAGAUUUGUUGAUCAUGGUGUGUAUUGAUUUGUUAUGCAUGUGUCAAUGUCUGUCUAUGUCGUUCAUUUUCUCCUACUGAUGUGUUGAGAGUUUAUGAAAUGUAAUUACAUGUAUCUAUCUGAACAAACAUGUAUUGUGGGCUCUUACAAAUUUUGUAUAGGCUGUGAUGGUUUAGCUUACCAGACCACCAUUCAAGAUUGGUCUGGCACUUGUAUAAUUAUAUAAUGUAUGAACUCAACUGUCAAAAAUAUUAUACUACUAUUAAUUAUUUUGGAGCCUUGAAUUGAGGAAGAAAUAUUUAAAUUUUUUUUGCUUAAUUAACAAUUAACAUAACUACUAACAACUGUUGUUUACCGUCUUGUGAAUUGUGAAUUUGUGAUGUGGAACUGUCAACCGUGUAAAGUCCUGUGGCACUUCACUGUACGAGUUGCAGAGCAAUCUCAUCAGAUUGCUCAUGCUGUUGAGGAAAUCUGCAUUUCACUUUUCUCCAGCGUUGGAGGAUCAUGUCGGCGGCGAGCACCACCUCUUGCGCUGCCGCCGCCGGUGUUCUUCAGCCGCCAAGUUCACGGCGAUCGAAGCGCCGGUGUUCUCUCUCCGGCGAGGGGUGCGGCCAAAGUACGGUGGCUAAUCCUAGUCCGUCCGAUCAACAUUGUGCGCCGCAGAUUUCCUGACGACCUUGACGAUGCGCUCGGUGACCUCGGCCUUGUCCAGGAACGACCCCUUGGCCUCCUCCGACGACAUCCACUGCCGGCCACACAGGGCCUCGCGCAGCACCACCGCGGGACUGAGGGACGCCACCGGGGAGGAGGAGGAAGGGGCCACCGCCACGCGGAGGUGCCUCAGGAGCAGGCUCCUCGCCCCGGCCAUUCUGGAGAGGAAUUGGGGAGGAGGAGGCGGCUCGCUGCUUCCGGGUGGGGAUCGGCGGCGGCGAGAGAGGAGGGAGGAGUUCGCUGCGGCGGCGGAGUGAGGAGAAGAGAGGAGAGCUCGAGGGGUUUUAGGCCCUUUAGGUAGAAUUGGGCCUUGUGGGCCUUCAUUUUAUCAGAGAAUUUUCUGAUACGGCCCAUGUAGCUGGAACCGGAAAAGCUAAUGGGCGAUUGAUCGCGAUCAGGGCAAUCGGCCCUCCUCCUCACGUGGUUUCUUUUUUUUUUUUGCACCGCAUUACUUUUUUAUUUUAGUAAAUUUAUGCAUCUAAAAUUUGUACAACCUUAAGUUUAUACAUCUAAAGUUUAUACACCUAAAGUUUAGAGACACAAAUUUUAUAAGUCAAAAGUUUAUAUAUCCGAUUCAAAUUUGAAUUUGAAUUCAAAUAUUUUUUAUAUAUAGUAUUUUCUAUAUAUCUAAAGUUUAUAGACCCAAAGUUUAUAAGUAAAAAGUUUAUAUACCCGAUUCAAAUUUGAAUUUCAAUUCAAUUUUUUUAUAUAUAGUAUUUCUAUACACCUAAAGUUUAGAGACCCAAAGUUUAUAAGUCAAAAGUUUAUAUAUCUAAUUCAAAUUUGAAUUUUAAUUCAAAUAUUUUUUAUAUAUUGUAUUUUCUAUACAUUUAAAGUUUAUAGGCCCAAAGUUUAUAAGUCAAAAUUUUAUAUGCCCGAUUCAAAUUUGGAUUUGAAUUCAAAUAUUAUAUAUAUAUAUAUAUAUAUAUAGUAUUUCUAUAUAUAAAUUUUUCUAACUGUUUUUUUUAAUUUAUGGUGUAGUAGGAAGAGAAGAAGGGGAGAGGAGCCGCAUAGGGGGAUGGGGGUCGAUUGCCUGGAGCGAUCGAUCGCCCAUUAGCUUUACCCAGCUGGAACUGCGUAAUUUGUAGGGAGAAGAGUUUACUUCAGCUUCCUCGUCUUGUCAUCGAGUUUUGAAAUCGUCCCUUUGAGGAAUCCUAUCCUAUAUAUCUAUAUAUAUCUAUACAGUUGAUCCUCACUACGUGCAAUUAAUUUGAUUUUUCUGUGAUGUGGUUGCUCCACAUCACUGAUUGCUUUGGAUUGUUAGAUUAAAAUUGCACGGCAGGAGAUUAGAUCGUUUCUGAUUCCUGCAUUGGUGGAAGACACAACGGAUGACAUGCAGCUCCCUGGCCUCUCUCUCGCGGUCUUCCAUUCUGAUCGCUCCACUCCACCGCCCCCUGUAACCGAUGAAAAUAAUGCAACCUCCUAGCACCCUGAUAGUUGAACAGCUUCGUUCUCGCCUCCACCCUAAUUAGCGUGCCACAAAAUCAAGGAAACCGAAGCAGAGGCAGUCAAAAAGACCACCUUAAUGAGCGAGCCAUACUGUUCUUGAGUUUAGUGUACAAAUAUAUGUGUAUAAACUUUUUUAUGCUUUUUGGAUCAGCAUUUUCCUUGGUUACCGAUUCCAUGCAUCAAUCAAAAGGUGCAUAAUUUCUUUAGUUCAUCAAAAAGUAACUUUGCGGGGAGAUAAUUUCAUCUGUUCACCUGAAAAAAAGUGUGCAGCAGUACAGAUCGAGGCAAAAUCAAUGUUUCGUGAUUGUUUCAUUCGUUGAAUGUCGCUUCCUUUUGCCCAAAAAAAAAUUAAACAUAUACGAUUGCUCUAUGUUUGAUAUAAAAAUAAAGUUUAUGUUGCCUCAUUUUUACAGUUUGCAGCUAUUUGUUUUUGUUUCUAGGGCAUUUAGCAAUGUCACAUCAUCUAUACACCAGCUUGCUACAGCCUACGUUAUUGCUACAUUGACCAAGUUAUCUUUGGCUGAUGUACCGAGACCUAAGUUAACUAUUUUAGAAAUAUAUCGGUGAUUCCGCAUGUUUCAGCAAAUAAAACCUGAUAAGCACUUGCUAAACAUCUUUAUAUUUCCUUCCAAGUGUUUUCAGCUCACAGUUGCCUUAGCUCCCUAUCUCACAUAUAUUUAUCGACAACAUUCCGCAGCAAUACGCGGGGUAUUAUCUAGUACUAGAUAUAACGCAUCCUAAUCUUAUCAAACUGGGUUAUAUUUUAGUCUCAAGGCAAUACUUCGGUCAACCAAACUAAGUCAGCAUGAGACCCACAUGUCAUACAAAAAAAAAUCACUACCCCUCUCUUCUCCUGUCUCUCUCUCACUCCAUCCACCAUCGACGCCACGCGUCCGUGAUGAGUGGAUGUGCUCGGUGCCAGCCCCGUCAGACUCUAGCGCGUGGCACAUGAAGGACAUGAUGGCGCCGGUGUGGGGCAGGGGACGCUUGGUCACUUGUCACGGUGAGGAAGGGCACAACGCGGCUCCAGAGUUUGGUCGCAGGAGGGGGCGAUUGGUUGCUAGCCGCUGCACGUGCUACUUGUGUCUGGUGCUUUAGGCGGAGACGGCGGCGGUGCGAAGCGAAGACGCUUUUGGGCCUACCUCGGCUGGGGUGAACACGCGGAGGCGGUGCUGGCAGUGUGGGCCACACGAAGACAACUUUGGCCUCGUGGGGCCACGAGUUGGCAUCGGCUGUGAUAGGUGUGGAGGCGACCACGAGGCCUAAGGAGGCGAGCACGGGUAGGCGCGGAGGUGGCCAUGUGGGCCAUAGAGACAUGCGGGCAGCUUCUGACGCAACAGGAACGACGACGGCGCAGCGGCUUGACCAUGCUGGCGCACCUUUCACUCGAUCCACCUGAGCUCCUAAUCUACUCCCCGCCGAUUCCUCUGUCACUCUCAUCUCCUCUACCACACUGGCCAGCUCAGCCUAUCACCUCUGCCUUCGACUCGUGCAGAUCUUGAUGCCGCCACUGCUCGACGAUUCUAUCCCCUGCUCCGCCCGACCCACUACUUCUUCUCUGGUGUCCCCGUCUCCAGCUUCGCCAUAUCCUCAAUCCGGCCGCCACUACACAUGACAUAGGAGAUUGGGAGACCUUCCAAUUCGCCGCAAUCACUGCCCCUCUCCCCGUCAGUCGCUGCCCCUCCCAAUCUGUCGUGUGAUGAGCGGGCAACGUCGACACUUUGGCUUGUAGGCAGCAAGGCACACCUCCAUUAACUAUUGGGCCUCCUCCACUGCCGCCGUCGGGCACACCGCGUGUUGACCAUCAUCUCCUCGCCGAUUACAUGGUGCCUCCACCGCAUUUGCUACCGCUGAGUCCAAAAGUUGGGGAGGGAGAUAGAUAAGGAAGAAUAUAUUGUUUCACAAACAUACGGGUCUCACUUGGGUUUUAAUUUUUCUUCUAGUGCCACGUCAGCCAAAACUGUCCUCAAUACUGCAUUGGGAUCUCAUUUAACCUGGUCUGCAAAGAUUAGGGAUGGGUUAUAUCUGGUAUUAUCGUGAAGGACAUUUUCAAACUUGCGCUCAACUUGAGGGACCCAAAUGAACUUAUUAGUUUAUAUGAUGGCCUCUUUGAAUCACUGUCAGGAAUUUUAAUUUAGCUUUCAUGAGGAGCUCCUUUUAAAUCUGUGCAAGCACAUAACACUACUAUACACACCUAAUAUAGGGUACCCAUAUGUUUAUACCUACAAAUAUAAUCCCUGACAUGUUUACAUAGACCAAAAUGAAUGGAAAUUCCAAGCCUUAAUUAAUGAAUAGUAUUGAAGACGUGUAUGCAUGUACUCCUCUGUCCCAUAAAAAAACUAAUCCUACCAUGGUCCAGGUUCAUAGCCAGGAUUGGCUUUUUUUUAAAGGACAGAUUAGUACAAAAUAUUCAUGGUCAAUAGAAUUUAUACUGCAGUGUAUGGAGUCAUACAACCACAACUAACGACUUCAUCACAGCACUUUCCAACUUUCAAAAAUUACAGAGCAGGAAUUUUACAUGAAUAAAUUUGAUUAUUAUGAAAUUCUGGGAAGAAAUCCUCCGUUUGAAAGGAAAUAUUCAUAUCUUUUCCAAUUCACGUAGGGAUGAAACGAUAUCUAUACUAUUUUAAAUAUUAGCAGUGGUGCCACCACCAUCUCAUAUCACUGACGUUUGUUCCUCCCAACUUCUGAGAAAUUUUGUGCCCCCUAAUUCAAAUGCUUCAUAUUCUCAGAGUAUAGCCAACUACUAACUCCAAAUCAUCUAUAGUCAAUUUAAUAACCAAUUCAUACGAUAGUUACAUAUAAAUAUAUACUACACUAGUAAUAUUUGUAGUCUGUGCUGCAGCUGGCUAUAAAUUUGUAGCCCGCUGCUCUUCUCUCUCCUCAUUUAUCUACUCGACAUGUGUUUAUAGCUAACUUCUAGUCUGCUAUUGUACCUGCUCUCAAUCCCCAGCAUGCCCUUGGAUUCCAUGGUAACGCACGGGUAGUUGGCUAGUAUAUGAAAUUUCUUCAUUGGGGUCAGAUGAUUAUGACUAUUUACAUGUACAUCAAUGAUCCAAUCCACUCCCAUGCCCUUGGAAGAAAACUUUGAUCUCGACAUUGUGCAUGUAGUUCGCUAUUCGAGGGAGUAUUAGUAUAGAACCAUCUGUUCUUGCCAAAUUGCACGCGGAGUACUACACACAUCAGAAUUCAGAAACACAUCAUCGUUCGUUUGAUGAUGGGUGAUGGAGCUGAGACUAGAGACUGGAGUACACAACGCAGUUUCCAUUAUUCAACAUGGGUUUAUGAUGCCGAUUGCAAAGGGCGAUCAACCAAAUCAUUGCUCAUGGGCCAGACACAAACUGAGAGGAUAAUAAUGCCUCGGUGUCCCUACCUUGUCAUUUCACGCUUCUCCGUGGGGCCAGGUGUCCCACCAAAAGCAAGAGUUGUUUGAAGUUAAUUCGAACUAAUCCUUCCCGCAUUAAAAAAAAAGAAAAAAACGACUAAUUAGCACAUAAUAAUUAAGUAUUAGUAAUUUUUUUAAAAAAUAAAUUAAUAUGAUUUUUUAAAACAGCUUUUAUAUAGAAAAUUUCUUUAAAAAUGUAUGAGUAGUUUGGAAAGCGUGUAUGAAAAAAAGAGGGUUAGGAUGGGAAAGCCAAAAAAAACACACACACAGUCGUGAUGAUGUUAUUAUUAAUAUGAGAUGUGUUCCCUAGUUACCGUUCACGCACGCAAACGCGAAUCGCGGGUGUGCCGGUGUGGUGCUGUACGAGACGGCGGAUGCCGGAUGGAUGGUUUUCUUUUCCGCUCCGCCGCGCGCGGCCGCGCCGACGCCUAGCGUGUCGCCUCGACGCUGGCCUCCAUGUGCGCUGCUGCGGCGGAGCUCGCGCGCCUUUCAGAUAAGCACCUUUCGGUUUGGAAUUUACGCAAGGCUGAUUAAGGAGCUUGUUUACUUUAGAAGAUGCCUUGCUGCUGUCUAAUCCUAAUCCUAAUCCUAUCAGAUAAUGAUGAUGUCCGUUUUUCACAAUCAUGCCGAUCGAUGAGUCUGAGUUAUGGAGCAUUAUGAUCGUAUACACCUCGGAGAAAUUUUACACCUACGAAAAGGGCAAGAGAGCAUUGUUGUGAAAACGUGAAUACCAGAGACUUUCCUAAUAUAUAAAUAGAAGGGGGUAAAACUUCAAACUCAGGCUGGCUAACCCAUCCGUAUUCUAAAAUAUAACAAAUCUAAAACUGAAUUAUAUACAUGAUAGUAUGAAUGUAGUCAUGAUUUAUAUUUAGAUUCAUAGUGCUCUCUUCAUCCUAUAAGAUAAGCGAUAUUAGAAGGAUGUGUACAUCAAUCUGGACAACGCAAUAAAUCUGGACGGAGGGAGUACUUCCUUCGUAAAGAUUGACGUUGCAGAGAUUAAGAGACAAAAUAGCUCAUAGGGUAAAAUUAAAUCGGCCUCCAUAUUUAAUCAGCUGAUGUUAAAUGCUUGUUAAACAACAAUGAAUUAAUGAGCAUGGACUCAAUUCAAAUUAGUGGACCAGAAUGAUCCAAGGAAAAACUAGAUGAUACCACAAAGCUGAAAUGAUCACCUUUUAGGGACAUUUUGAAGGCUGUAAAACGACAUCUUAUGAGAACAUAGGAAGUACCGAAGUAAUAGAAUACGUGUAAUCUGAUCUUAGUUUCUCUCGGUCCAAAAUAUAAAAAACUAGUAUUGAAUGAGAUACAUCUACUACAGGAAACUUGUCUAGGUUCGUAGCAUGUGUUCCACUCAUAACAAUAUAUUUCAAGACGAAGGUAUUACAUUAAUAAUAAUAAUAAUAAUAAUAAUAAUAAUAAUAAUAAUAAUAAUAAUAAUAAUGUGAAAGGGCAUGUACCCCAGUAGUUAUAAGAGUCUCAGUGAUACCUUAGGUUCUGGCUUCGACUCCCCAUGGGAGUGAAUUUAAAUUUUUCAGGAUUUAACGGUGCUUUCAGUGGUAGGCGACGUACCCGUCGACAGCGAAUUUGAAUUUUCCAUGAUUUAACGGCUUUGUGCUUUCAGUGGUAGGCGACGUACCCGUUGAUAGCGAGGCAUAAUAGUGUCCUAUCUAUUCAGGAUUUAAUAGCUUUGUGCUUUUAAUAAUAGACGGCGUACCCGUCGACAGCAGUUUUGUGCUUUUAGUGAUAUACAGCGUAAUAGUGUCCUAUCUAUUCGUGUGGAAUAUAACGCGUACUAAAUCACUAGAGUGAGGAGACAAACCACACCAACUGACACCAACAUCAUUUUCUCUCGACAAGUCUCGAGUGACGCCAAGUUGCCAACUGUGACUCGUACACUCUACAGUCUCCGCGGUAGAACUGUAGAGCUCCGCUACACGGCAAAUUCCGUGCGUUGCGCGUGAGAGACUGACCGUGCACGAGCCCGAUCCGGACCCGACCGGCUGGAAGCUGCCUCGGCCUCGCUCCACACCGCGUCCCGGCCGGCCCGGCUCGCUCGUAGCUUCCUCUCAUAUGAUUUGAGGCUAUCCAUAAUCCAUUCCACUUCUAUAAAUCCCAAGCGCCCACUACUCUCCUUCCACUACCCAUCACUCCCCCAAGAUUCCACGGAUAUUUUCUCUCCCCCUGCUCCCGUCGCCAUCGCAAAGGAGAAAAAAAAAAGGUGAGCAAUCGCUUCUCUGCUCGCUCGGCUCAGAUCUGCGUGUGUACGCUGGUAGAUCUGUGGAAAGAGGUUCAAUUUUUUGAGCCCAGUUCGCGAUCUGCGGUUCCGCGAGAGUGAACGGAUCUUCCGGAUCGUGGAAAUUCAUCGUUUGCUUUUCUUUUUUUUUUUUGUUUCUUCUUUGGAUGUGUCUCCGAUCUGAAUCCGCUUGAUCUGGACAGAGGAGGAAGGAAGGAAGGAUGAGCGCCACGGCGGUGUCGUCGCUGAACCCGGACGCGCCGCUCUUCAUCCCGGCGGCGUUCCGGCAGGUGGAGGACUUCUCGCCGCAGUGGUGGGACCUCGUCAAGACCACCGCCUGGUUCCGCGACCACUGGUUCCACGAGCACCAGCAGCUCGACGAGAUGGCCGACUCCCUCGCCCUCCACGACGCCGCCGCCGACGACGACGACCUCGCCGGCCUCCUCCCCGACGACGCCUUCGACGACGACGACGACGACGACCUCUUCUUCGACCAGACCCAUAACCUCCUCGUCGAUCCCCCGCAGCCGCCCGCCGCUCUCAAGACUGGUACCGACUGACUCACUCGCUUGCUCGCUUUGUUGAUCAUCAAAAGAUCGAGUCUAAAACGAGAAUUGCAGUGAAAUUCAUC